rnacentral:rRNA from 1 species
ACGGGGGCCCGCACAAGCAGUGAGUAUGUGGUUUAAUUCGAAGCAACGCGAAGAACCUUUACCAGGGCUUGACAUCCCUUGAAGCAGCUAGAGAUAGCUGUGUCCUUCGGGACAAGGAGACAGGUGGUGCAUGGUUGUCGUCAGCUCGUGUCGUGAGAUGUUGGGUUAAGUCCCGCAACGAGCGCAACCCCUAUUGUUAGUUGCCAUCAUUCAGUUGGGCACUCUAGCGAGACUGCCGGUAAUAAACCGGAGGAAGGUGGGGAUGACGUCAAAUCAUCAUGCCCCUUAUGACCUGGGCUACACACGUGCUACAAUGGUUGGUACAACGAGUUGCGAGUCGGUGACGGCGAGCUAAUCUCUUAAAGCCAAUCUCAGUUCGGAUUGUAGGCUGCAACUCGCCUACACGAAGUCGGAAUCGCUAGUAAUCGCGGAUCAGCACGCCGCGGUGAAUACGUUCCCGGGCCUU